GAUUGUUGUGUUGGCCCUUUGGCGAGUGUCUGCAGUUCACUCAACACCAUGAGCACAGCUGUGUUCUAACCUCUCAGAGCAAUGUCAUGCUGGGGGUCCACUCCUCCCUGGCCAUAUGGUUUGCCCAGGACUCACAGUGGGACCUGUUUGAGCACCAUUUCUCCAAGGCUUGCCAGUUGGUGAAAAAAACCAAUGCCUCACUAUUUGGUUCACAUGGCUUUGUCCGAUUUCUAGAGUGCCACGUACUAAUGUUACAGAAAAUGCCAGAGGGUAUCUUCAUGCAUAUUCCCCCAGUGACUCGCAGCCAAACCCUCCAGUACUUUGAGGAGUUCUUCUCUCGAUGUGUGACCUGCCCUGUCUAUCAUCAGUGGGUCUCUGAGCUUAAGGCCUCUGUAAUGAGAUGUGGAAAGAGAGAAUCCACGUCCUUGAAUAACACCAUCAGACCUUUUGACACCAGCUUGACCGGGAUUUGGAUAGAGGAGGAAUUUCUGAAGAAAAACAACUCUUGUGAAAGAAAUUUAGGAGUAGAGAGAUUUAACAAAGUAGCUGAUAUCAAGGAGAAUAAGGAUCCAGAAGAAACUCAAGAAUAUAUAUGUUAAAAUAAUAAUAAUCUGAAGGGACCAUGAUUCUCUUACAGGGAAAGCCAAUGCCCCAAAUUCUCCUUUUUAAGAUACUGUAUAGUGUACAUACUAAAUAUACUAGCCUGUCACUGCUAUCAAUAUCUUUGUCAAAAUAAAAG
rnacentral:lncRNA from 1 species